rnacentral:rRNA from 1 species
UACAGAGGUCUCAAGCGUUGUUCGGAUUCAUUGGGCGUAAAGGGAGCGUAGGUGGCGGGGUUAGUCAGGUGUGAAAUCUCGGGGCUCAACCCCGAAACUGCACUUGAUACUGCCUUGCUAGAGUACUGGAGAGGAGAUUGGAAUUUACGGUGUAGCAGUGAAAUGCGUAGAUAUCGUAAGGAAGACCAGUGGCGAACGCGAAUCUCUGGACAGUUACUGACACUGAGGCUCGAAGGCCAGGGGAGCAAACGGG